UUUCCAGCAGGUACAAGGUAGGGAAUGAGCAGUCAAGUCUAAAUUCACUGAGAAAAACCCCAGAGACGAAGCCAACUUUGUUCAAGCUUUUAAAGAAAUUUAUUUUGAAGCACCUGCAAUUUGGAAUAAUUAGAAGCACUUCGUUUUUGGCAUCCUGUCCAGCCCACGUCCAGGAGGAAUCCUGGGGACCCUGAGGCCACUUGAGAGCCACCCUUCUCCCACUUUAUGAUAAACUGCAUGCCUCCUACCAUCCUGAAGCUUACUUCCAAGGCAUGCUUUGCUUCCAAGGUAUGGAAACCUCUGGGGCAUCACACGCAGAGACAGUUCUAGAAAACAUCCCUCCUGAAGGAGAGUCCCCUGACAGGGACACAAAGGAAGUGUCCUUAGAAGAUACUGGAGGAAAGGCACUUUACUUCAUCCAGGCGACAAGGUCAAACGACAGCUGUGUGCACCAACGUCAGAAUCAGGAUUCAGAAGUGGGACGGUUGUCAUAGGCGUGCAAGGAAACUUAUUUGAGUUCAAAAAUGAAGCUGGACUUUUUCUGACGGGAACAGUCUGGUUUGGCUAAUUGACCUGAGGCGGCUGUGCCGCGAGGCUGUGCGCUGGCCGCUGUCCACCAGGAGCAAAACUGCAGACCGAACAUUUUGACAACAGGCGUUAAAGCACACGAGAAAAUAGCCUCCAUUUUAAAGUAUCGUAUUUGUAGAAGUGUGUUGAAAUUAAUAACACUUCCUCUCUCCCAAUCCUUUCCAGAAUACAUCGCGCUGAGCCAGAAGCCAAGACGAAAGAGGACAUGAGUAAUCGAUUGUCAUCCUAAUUAGCCUUUCCAGUAUAUUUCCCCAAAAUUAAGAGAAGAACUUUAUGACUGGAAAAUAAAUGCCUCACAAAGUCAGUCAGCUUCCAACGUGUUGUUUUCCUCAAAAGAACAGCGAGACCUUUUGAUUAUAGAUGACUUAUUUUUGCCAGGCAGCUCAGAUGGAGUUCGUGACUGAGAGACUCAGCGUCCAGAGCGCUCCGAUUCCUGUCUGUGUACUCACGGAGCGAGGCUGCUGCUCACUCACCUCUAUAAAGAGGAAAAACAGCAACAGCGUCGGUGCCAGCCCCUGCUCAUUGUAACAAAAAAUAAUAAAGCUAUGUAGAAUUUAAGUAUUUG
rnacentral:lncRNA from 1 species